AGAUAGAAACCGACCUGGCUCACACCGGUUUAAACUCAGAUCAUGUAAAAUUUUAAAGGUCGAACAGACCUAAUUUACUAGCACCUUCACCAGUAAUUCAUUUUAAUCCAACAUCGAGGUCGCAAUCUUUUCCUUCGAUAAGAACUCUAGAAAAAAUUACGCUGUUAUCCCUAAGGUAAUUUUAUCUUAUAAUCUAAAAAUUAGGAUCCUUUAUUCAUAAAUUAAUGAUUAUUUUUAAAAAAAGUUAAUUAAAUUUUUCUAUCACCCCAACAAAAUAUUUAUCUAAAUAAAAAAAAGUCUAAUUCAAAUCAUCUAGUUUAUUAAAUAAAUAUAAAACUCUAUAGGGUCUUCUCGUCUUCUAUUUAAAUUUAAGCUUUUUUACUUAAAAAUAAAAUUCUAUUUAAUUUUCAAAGAGACAGAAAUUUUUUCAUCUAACCUUUCAUACAAGCUUUCAAUUAAAAAACAAAUGAUUAUGCUACCUUUGUACAGUUAAAAUACUGCAGCCAUUUAAUUCUUCAUUGGGCAGGCCAAACUUAAAAUUAUUUUCGAUAAGCCAUGUUUUUAAUAAACAGGCG
rnacentral:rRNA from 1 species